AAUCAGGGUUUUGUGCCUCAGGUUAUAUUGAUGCCGAUGUAACUGCUUUUCACUGGUGUAACGGCCGCAUAGACUUACGAGCCUAGAUAACUGACUAGACCGACUAAGCUACUACGCAGUGGCCCGAUCGGGUGGGAGCAAAAUCCAUUUAAAUAUAC
rnacentral:misc_RNA from 1 species